ACUCAAAUGAAUAGACGGGGGGCCGCACAAGCGGUGGAGCGUGUGGUUUAAUUCGACGCUAAGCGAAGAACCUUACCAGGGCUUGACAUCCCGGUCGUAUCUCGCCGAAACGCGAGAGUCAGUUUGCUGGACCGGUGACAGGUGCUGCAUGGUCGUCGUCAGCUCGUGUCGUGAGAUGUUGGGUUAAGUCCCGCAACGAGCGCAACCCUCGUCGUAUGUUGUAUUUUUCAUACGAGACUGCCUCGGUUAACGAGGAGGAAGGCGGGGAUGACGUCAGAUCAGCAUGGCCCUUAUGCCCUGGGCGACACACGCGCUACAAUGACCGGCACAAUGGGACGCGAAGCCGCGAGGUGGAGCUAAUCCCAUCAAAGCCGGCCCCAGUUCGGAUUGGAGGCUGCAACUCGCCUCCAUGAAGUCGGAAUCGCUAGUAAUCGCGGAUCAGCCAUGCCGCGGUGAAUACGUUCUCGGCCCUUGUACACACCGCCCGU
rnacentral:rRNA from 1 species